rnacentral:rRNA from 1 species
GCAAAGUCAAUUGCUUAUAACCUGGUUAUAAAUAGUUGUUAGUGGCAGACGGGUGAGUAAUGCGUAGGAAUCUACCUAGUAGUAUGGAAUAGCCAUUAGAAAUGAUGGGUAAUACUGUAUAAUCCCUGCGGGGGAAAGAUUUAUCGCUAUUAGAUGAGCCUACGUUAGAUUAGCUAGUUGGUAAGGUAAUGGCUUACCAAGGCUAUGAUCUAUAGCUGGUCUGAGAGGACGAUCAGCCACACUGGAACUGAGAUACGGUCCAGACUCCUACGGGAGGCAGCAGUGGGGAAUAUUGGACAAUGGGCGAAAGCCUGAUCCAGCUAUGCCGCGUGAGUGAAGAAGGCCUUCGGGUUGUAAAACUCUUUCAAUAGGGAAGAUAAUGACGGUACCUAUAGAAGAAGUCCCGGCAAAGUCAGAAGAAGUCCCGGCAAAGUCAAAUGAU